UGGAUAUAUUCUUACUUUGGAGUGUCCAAGGUAUUUGAAGAAGAAGGAAGAUAUCAGCCUCCAAGUUUCUUGCAAACUAGCACUUCCAAAGAUCCUGAUCUACAUCAGUUUUUGUACGAAUUUUUUAUAGAGGCUGGAUGACUUCGUGUGGCUGUGAGAAACCUGAAGGAGAGCUCUCCAAGCAUUGGACUAGAAGAGAUCAAGAGAUUUCAAUUUGGUAAUGAUUUCUAAACUUUCUUGAUCAUGUGUGUUAGAUCUAAUAGUUAGAUCUUCAUAGCAGCAUCGAUUAGAUC
rnacentral:lncRNA from 1 species